CCUACGGGGGGCAGCAGUGGGGAAUAUUGGACAAUGGGCGAAAGCCUGAUCCAGCCAUGCCGCGUGUGUGAAGAAGGCCUUCGGGUUGUAAAGCACUUUCAGUGGGGAAGAAAGCCUUGGGGCUAAUACCCUCGAGGAAGGACAUCACCCACAGAAGAAGCACCGGCUAACUCCGUGCCAGCAGCCGCGGUAAUACGGAGGGGUGCGAGCGUUAAUCGGAAUUACUGGGCGUAAAGCGCGCGUAGGCGGUCUGAUAAGCCGGUUGUGAAAGCCCCGGGCUCAACCUGGGAACGGCAUCCGGAACUGUCAGGCUAGAGUGCAGGAGAGGAAGGUAGAAUUCCCGGUGUAGCGGUGAAAUGCGUAGAGAUCGGGAGGAAUACCAGUGGCGAAGGCGGUCUUCUGGACUGACACUGACGCUGAGGUGCGAAAGCGUGGGUAGCAAACAGGAUUAGAUACCCCGGUAGUC
rnacentral:rRNA from 1 species